rnacentral:tRNA from 1 species
GGAGUGGCUGUGGCUCAGUGGAAGAGCCUCAACUUUGCACGUAGAAGGUCCGAGGUUUAAUUCCUGGCAUCUCCA